CCCUGGGAGAACCAGCCUUAGAGGAACGGGGCUUCCCUGCAGACAUCCUCCUGGAGGAGAUGAUCCCCACACUGAAGCUGGUCAUCAGGGCAGUCAGGAUCAUGCAAUUCCUCCUGGAACAAGAAGCGGGUUUAAGGCAACUUGAGGCAUUACGAUGUCAAAGACGUGAUCGAGCAGUACUCUGCCGGACACCUGGACAUGCUCUGUAGAAUCAAAUACCUCCAGACCAGGAUCGACAUGAUUCUGGCCCCUGGACCCCCCCUCACCCCCAAACAGAAGAAAACGCAGAAAACGCCUUUUACCUACCCGCCCAGUCAGUCGCCCAGGAGGAGACCUACCUAGCCAAGCUGACUCGAUGCCCGACACCGAAGCACCAAAGCAUGAUGGGUUAGAUUUGUACCGGGGGAGAGACGGUUGAGGA